AGAGUUUGAUCCUGGCUCAGAACGAACGCUGGCGGCGUGUCUUAAGCAUGCAAGUUGAGCGGCAAGGGGGAGCAAUCCCCCCUAGAGCGGCGGACUGGUGAGUAACACGUGGGUGACCUGCCUUUGUCUUGGGGAUAGCCAUUAGAAAUAGUGGGUAAUACCGAAUACGCUUGCACACGUAGAGGUGUGUAAGGAAAGGCGCUACGGCGCCGGACGAAGAUGGGCCCGCGUCCCAUUAGCUAGUUGGUGAGGUAACGGCUCACCAAGGCGAUGAUGGGUAGGCGGCCUGAGAGGGUGUACGCCCACAUUGGGACUGAGAUACGGCCCAAACUCCUACGGGAGGCAGCAGCUAAGAAUAUUCCGCAAUGGACGAAAGUCUGACGGAGCGACGCCGCGUGGAUGACGAAGGCCGAAAGGUUGUAAAAUCCUUUUGCUGGGGAAGAAUAAGCAUGGGAGGGAAUGCCCGUGUGAUGACAUGAACCGGCGAAUAAGCCCCGGCUAACUACGUGCCAGCAGCCGCGGUAACACGUAGGGGGCGAGCGUUGUUCGGAAUUACUGGGCGUAAAGGGCAUGUAGGCGGCCUUGUAAGCCUGGCGUGAAAUUCCACGGCUCAACCGUGGGAAUGCGUCGGGAACUGCGAGGCUUGAGUGACGGAGAGGGAGCUAGAAUUCCUGGUGUAGGGGUGAAAUCUGUAGAUAUCAGGAAGAAUACCAAUGGCGAAGGCAAGCUCCUGGCCGAUGACUGACGCUGAGGUGCGAAAGUGUGGGGAUCAAACAGGAUUAGAUACCCUGGUAGUCCACACGGUAAACGAUGUGCACUAGGUGCUGGGGCGGAUGCUUCAGUGCCGGAGCUAACGCGGUAAGUGCACCGCCUGGGGAGUAUGCUCGCAAGGGUGAAACUCAAAGGAAUUGACGG
rnacentral:rRNA from 1 species